UCGGGGUUUGGCAAAGAGAGAAGGAAGAGAAUGAGGUUUCAAUUUGGGUUUGGGUUUGGGUUUGAGAGAGAAGGUUGAGAAGUGGAGAGAGAAAGGUGACGGUGGAGUAAAGCUAGCCAUUGUUCGUUGAAAGAUAGAGCCAGCCGUGAGUGACGGUUGGUUCUUCUGUGGAGGAGAAGACGAGAAUAACCAUAGUAUAUGCCCUUCCUCUUGGAUAAGGUAUGCAUUUCUUUUUUUAAUUUUCUUCUAAUUUUUCCCUUUUUCAUUAUUCAUUCCAAUAAUAAUUCUCUCUCUGGGCUUCUUCUUCAGCUUCUUUUGGGUCGCCUCUCUCUUUCUUCCUGCACUCCCCAAUUUUCUUCUUUCACUCCCUCAUUCAAGGUCAGUUUACUGUAUUUCCUAAUUCUUUUCCAUUUUAUGCUUUUCUCUCAAAUUUGUUUCUGAAACAAUCAAGACACUAAAAUCAUAUUUUGAAUAUUUUUUAAUUUAAAGUAUUAUUUUUGUCAUUUUUUUAAUAUUUUCCUUCUGGUCACAUGAUUGGUGAACUGAAAGCUUUGCCGAAAAGAGAUGGUGGAUAAGGGAUGAACUAAUCAUUGCGUGAAUUUCAGAACAUUACCUUCCUCUUUUGCUUUUCACCUAUUUUUUUCUCAGAUAAAAAGGUGGAAAGUUAAUCAACCUUAGCGGAAUCUUAUCAUUAAUAAUAAAUUGAUUUUUUUUAUUGAAAAUUAUUAAAAAUUGCAUUGCGAUGAAAUUGUAUGAAGGACAUUCACUUAUUCAAUAAUGAUAAUAAUAAUUUAAUUCCUCGUAUGAAAUUGUACGAAGAACAUUCUCUUUAAAUUGUUGUCUUGAAAACAUUUAUUAUGUUUAGCCUAAAAGAAUCUGAAUAAAUAAAUAAAUUUCACUUCUAAAAUCAGAAUCUACUUUAAUUCCUCGUAUCAUUCAAAGAAACUCCAGUUUGAACUCUGAAAUUGACAUAUCAACUACUCUAAUCCCUAAUGCUAGUCAAAUGAUUAAUUGACUGCUACCAGUUAAUUCAACCGGUGUUAAAAGAUCCAAUUAGGUAAUGUUCAGAAAAUUCAAGGUUUAACUGACUGUUGUAUGAAAGAUGAAUUUGAUGUUAAGGUGAUUUUCAGUGCUUUAAUUUACUCUUCGUAGAUUUCUUUAUGUCCAUUCUUUUUGCAAUCUUUUCCUUUUAUAAGAUCC
rnacentral:lncRNA from 1 species